UCAUGUUGUUAGCAAACCCAGGACAGCUGUUUCCAGCAUGCAUGCUAACUGGAUGUAGCUUCAUAUUUAGUGCACAGAUACUGGAACGCUUUUCCUUUUCCUGUUUAACGCCCACUACAAAAAUCAAAAAAGCGAAGGUGACCUUUGUUCUCCUCUCUCCUCAGUGCCGUACCAGGAGCCCAGGCUGGACGUUAAUACAGAGGCUAUGUCUGCAGUGUGCAGUCUGCAAGGAGGAUUUCCUGCCCCUGACAUACAGUGGGUCCUCCUCCAUAACAGCUCCCAUCAGGCAGUGGAGUCCAGGAACGUCAACACUGAAACGAAGCAGAACGUCCACGAUCACCUGUACAGCUCCCGCAGCAUCCUGCACAUCCUUGCAGGUCGUCACGAGGCCGUGAGCUGUCUCAGCCACAACCCCACCCUGAACAGGACUGUCAAGGUCACCCACAACUUCAACACAGCAGGUGCAGCAGCGAGGAGCUCACCUGCAGCCCUAACUGUAUAUCUGAUAGCAGCUGCUGUGGUUCUUCUAACAGCUGUGCAGUGAGCAAAGCCACCCGAGGUAGAGCGAUGCAGCGUUUCGGUGGUGGAGGGGUGAAACCGUGUGCCAUGGAGACACUUCAGCGUGUUGUAUGUUGCACCUUAUCUGUGCGUGAUAUUGACGGUGCGCACACUCUGAAUCUGGGUUUCAUGGGUCCUGCUGGGUGGCACUAACUUGGUGCUUAAAACAAAACUUGAAGCUAUAUCUGCUCAGGCUGGAGCAUUAAACCCACCACAGUGUGAAACAACAGUCACUGGACCAUCAAACGUCAUGCUGGGCGCCUGUUUAACUGAAUGUUAUGUCCAUGUGCUGUUAUGUCUUUAGAAGUGUUAUUUAAAAUAAAUCAAAGAGUUAUUUAGAUGAAAA